CUGCGGAGGAGAGUCAUCACGUGCGUUCCGGGCUCGCCGGGCGUUGGACGGCCUGCGGAGAGAGAUCUAGGGUACCACAUUGAUGAGGUCGGAAUCCAGUCGGCUCAGAGCACCUGGACAGCUAAGUAGGAUCCUGAGCAAAUCAGAGACGUCUCGCAUGAGAGACCCGACGACGCACCAUACACCAGCCCCUGGACCCUGAGACAGGCCUGUGAGAUCCAUGGCCCACAGGCUGAUUAACUCUCACCUCCAGGCUCAGAAACCAGAAAACAUGACCGAAACCUAGAAAGGCAUUUUCAUACCUAAAAGUGUGAGACAUGAACGUGGAGAUCAAAGCACAAGACAGUGAAUUCGCUAUUCUGAGGCUUGUUAACGAGUGUAUGCUGAACACUAACUGUGUUUGGGGCCAGCUUCCCGUCUAGAGAGAAGAGAUAGACGAAUACAGUACCUAAGCUUUCCUGCAUUCCGGCACUGGUACUAGAACCAGCUUCUUCUGGCUUCCAAUGUAGACUAAAGACCAGCAGCUCUCCAGGAAUCCUCCAGGCCUUUAGCACCAGCCUUGUGGAUGAGCAACUGCUGAAUUCUUGGCCUUUCUGGUGUGAGACAGCCAUUGUUGGACUACUCAGAUUGAAUCAUGCAUUUUGUCAGUGACACACAGCAAC